rnacentral:rRNA from 1 species
AUACGGAGGGGGCUAGCGUUGUUCGGAAUUACUGGGCGUAAAGCGCACGUAGGCGGAUUGGAAAGUUGGGGGUGAAAGCCCGAGGCUCAACCUCGGAAUUGCCUUCAAAACUACCAGUCUAGAGUCCGGGAGAGGUGAGUGGAAUUCCUAGUGUAGAGGUGAAAUUCGUAGAUAUUAGGAGGAACACCAGUGGCGAAGGCGGCUCACUGGCCCGGUACUGACGCUGAGGUGCGAAAGCGUGGGGAGCAAACAGGAUUAGAAACCCUAGUAGUCC